CAUAUCCCAGCUGUUUCGGCC
rnacentral:miRNA from 1 species